rnacentral:rRNA from 1 species
CCUACGGGUGGCAGCAGUGAGGAAUAUUGGUCAAUGGACGAGAGUCUGAACCAGCCAAGUAGCGUGAAGGAUGACUGCCCUAUGGGUUGUAAACUUCUUUUAUAAAGGAAUAAAACGAGGCACGUGUGCCUUUUUGUAUGUACUUUAUGAAUAAGGAUCGGCUAACUCCGUACCAGCAGCCGCGGUAAUACGGAGGAUCCGAGCGUUAUCCGGAUUUAUUGGGUUUAAAGGGAGCGUAGAUGGGUUGUUAAGUCAGUUGUGAAAGUUUGCGGCUCAACCGUAAAAUUGCAAUUGAUACUGGCAGUCUUGAGUACAGUUGAGGUAGGCGGAAUUCGUGGUGUAGCGGUGAAAUGCUUAGAUAUCACGAAGAACCCCGAUUGCGAAGGCAGCUUACUAAACUGUGACUGACAUUGAUGCUCGAAAGUGUGGGUAUCAAACAGGAUUAGAUACCCGAGUAGUC